GUACACUCCUACGGGAGGCAGCAGUGGGGAAUUUUGGACAAUGGGCGAAAGCCUGAUCCAGCAAUGCCGCGUGAGUGAAGAAGGCCUUCGGGUUGUAAAGCUCUUUUGUCAGGGAAGAAACGGUGAGAGCUAAUAUCUCUUGCUAAUGACGGUACCUGAAGAAUAAGCACCGGCUAACUACGUGCCAGCAGCCGCGGUAAUACGUAGGGUGCAAGCGUUAAUCGGAAUUACUGGGCGUAAAGCGUGCGCAGGCGGUUUUGUAAGUCUGAUGUGAAAUCCCCGGGCUCAACCUGGGAAUUGCAUGGGAGACUGCAAGGCUAGAAUCUGGCAGAGGGGGGUAGAAUUCCACGUGUAGCAGUGAAAUGCGUAGAUAUGUGGAGGAACACCGAUGGCGAAGGCAGCCCCCUGGGUCAAGAUUGACGCUCAUGCACGAAAGCGUGGGGAGCAAACAGGAUUAGAAACCCGAGUAGUCC
rnacentral:rRNA from 1 species